rnacentral:rRNA from 1 species
CACGCCAUAAACGAUGAGUGCUAGGUGUUGGGGGUCAAACCUCGGUGCCGCAGUUAACGCAUUAAGCACUCCGCCUGGGGAAUACGUUCGCAAGAAUAAAACUCAAAGGAAUUGACGGGGACCCGCACAAGCAGCGGAGCAUGUGGUUUAAUUCGAAGCAACGCGAAGAACCUUACCUGGACUUGACAUCCCUCGGACCGUCUUCUAACCGAGACCUUCCCUUCGGGGACCGAGGAGACAGGUGG